GAUGAAGAGCGUAGCGAAAUGCGAUACGUAAUGUGAAUUGCAGAAUUCAGUGAAUCAUCGAAUCUUUGAACGCAUAUUGCGCUCUCUGGUAUUCCGGAGAGCAUGCUUGUUUGAGUAUCAGUAAACACCUCAACUCCCCUUUCUUUUUUGAAAUGGGAGCUGGACUUGAGUGAUCCCAACGCUUUUCUCACCGAAAAGUGGCGGGUUACUUGAAAUGCAGGUGCAGCUGGACUUUUCUCUGAGCUAAAAGCAUAUCUAUUUAGUCUGCCUAAAAACAGAUUAUUACCUUUGCUGCAGCUAACAUAAAGGAGAUUAGUUCUUGUGCUGACUGAUGCAGGAUUCACAGAGACAGCUUCGGCUGGCCUUUGUAAACUCGAUCUCAAAUCAAGUAAGACUACCCGCUGAACUUAAGCAUAUCAAUAAGCGGAGGA
rnacentral:misc_RNA from 1 species